AACGAACGCUGGCGGCAGGCUUAACACAUGCAAGUCGAACGCCCCGCAAGGGGAGUGGCAGACGGGUGAGUAACGCGUGGGAAUCUACCCAUCCCUACGGAACAACUCCGGGAAACUGGAGCUAAUACCGUAUACGCCCUACGGGGGAAAGAUUUAUCGGGGAUGGAUGAGCCCGCGUUGGAUUAGCUAGUUGGUGGGGUAAGGGCCUACCAAGGCGACGAUCCAUAGCUGGUCUGAGAGGAUGAUCAGCCACAUUGGGACUGAGACACGGCCCAAACUCCUACGGGAGGCAGCAGUGGGGAAUACUGGACAAUGGGCGCAAGCCUGAUCCAGCCAUGCCGCGUGAGUGAUGAAGGUCUUAGGAUUGUAAAGCUCUUUCACCGAUGAAGAUAAUGACGGUAGUCGGAGAAGAAGCCCCGGCUAACUUCGUGCCAGCCGCCGCGGUAA
rnacentral:rRNA from 1 species